CUCGUGCCGCUUUAAUGCGCGGUGAAAAUAGCACGCGGAUCUGGUGCCGCGUCGCUCGCGCGUAACAUAGCUGGCAUAACGAAUCCUUUCUGGGACUCUGGACGCCACCACGCGGGACAGGUGGAGCCCAGGAGAGAGACAUGCAGGUUGGUGUGAAAGAGGCAGAUGUAGAGGACAGAGUGGCAUGGAGACGGAUGAUCCGCUGUGGAGACCCCUAACGUGAGCAGCCAGAUGAAGACGAAGAAGAGGAGCAGACUCAGGGAUGUGAAACUCAGGGUAAUAAUAAAAUAAGUUUGAUCAGGUUGUGGACGGGUUCAUUCACAACAAUGUAUCAGGAUGAAUAAAUCAGGAUGUGUGUAUUGAUGGAUACUUUAUUGCACAUCUGUAAAUCACUCUGGAUGAACAUGUGUGUAAAAGCAGUGACAGAUGUAAACAUUUCUGCUGGCAGUUUUCAGAUAAUUCCAAUACCAAUAAUACCUGUUUCAUUUAUCAGCCCAAAUGAUCUCUCAGUAUUCAGAUCUGAAUAUUUGGACCUGUUUUAGCUUUAACAGAACACAUACACAGCUUUUCUUUUCUUAACUGCAGUGUUUCAUUUUGUAGCAGUAAAUAUAACUUUUUAA